rnacentral:lncRNA from 1 species
CUUUUUUGCUGGUAAUAGUUUGUUAUUUCGUGGUAUGUCGUCGGUGCCUCUUCCAGGGGAUCCGAGUCUGAGGGG